rnacentral:rRNA from 1 species
UACGGGAGGCAGCAGUGAGGAAUAUUGGUCAAUGGCCGCAAGGCUGAACCAGCCAAGUAGCGUGAGGGAAGGCUGCCCUAUGGGUUGUAAACCUCUUUUGUCGGGGAAUAAAGUGCUCCACGUGUGGAGUAUUGCAUGUACCCGUCGAAUAAGCAUCGGCUAACUCCGUGCCAGCAGCCGCGGUAAUACGGAGGAUGCGAGCGUUAUCCGGAUUUAUUGGGUUUAAAGGGAGCGUAGGCGGGAGAUCAAGUCAGUUGUGAAAUGUAGGGGCUCAACCCCUGCACUGCAGUUGAAACUGGUUUUCUUGAGUGCGUAAGAGGCAGGCGGAAUUCGUCGUGUAGCGGUGAAAUGCUUAGAUAUGACGAAGAACUCCGAUUGCGAAGGCAGCUUGCUGGGCCGCUACUGACGCUGAAGCUCGAAGGUGCGGGUAUCAAACAGGAUUAGAUACCCUGGUAGUCC